rnacentral:misc_RNA from 1 species
GAUGAAGAACGCAGCGAAAUGCGAUAAGUAAUGUGAAUUGCAGAAUUCAGUGUAUCAUCGAAUCUUUGAACGCACAUUGCGCCCGCCAGCAUUCUGGCGGGCAUGCCUGUUCGAGCGUCAUUUCAACCCUCGAGCCCCCCCGGGGGCCUCGGUGUUGGGGGACGGCACACCAGCCGCCCCCGAAAUGCAGUGGCGACCCCGCCGCAGCCUCCCCUGCGUAGUAGCACACACCUCGCACCGGAGCGCGGAGGCGGUCACGCCGUAAAACGCCCAACUUUCUUAGAGUUGACCUCGGAUCAGGUAGGAAUACCCGCUGAACUUAAGCAUAUCAAUAAGCGGAGGA